rnacentral:rRNA from 1 species
AUUGAACGCUGGCGGCAUGCCUUACACAUGCAAGUCGAACGGCAGCACGGGAGCAAUCCUGGUGGCGAGUGGCGAACGGGUGAGUAAUAUAUCGGAACGUGCCCAGUCGUGGGGAUAACGUAGCGAAAGCUACGCUAAUACCGCAUACGAUCUAUGGAUGAAAGCGGGGGAUCGCAAGACCUCGCGCGAUUGGAGCGACCGAUAUCAGAUUAGGUAGUUGGUGAGGUAAAGGCUCACCAAGCCGACGAUCUGUAGCUGGUCUGAGAGGACGACCAGCCACACUGGGACUGAGACACGGCCCAGACUCCUACGGGAGGCAGCAGUGGGGAAUUUUGGACAAUGGGCGCAAGCCUGAUCCAGCAAUGCCGCGUGCAGGAUGAAGGCC